UACGUAGGGGGCAAGCGUUGUCCGGAAUUACUGGGCGUAAAGGGCGCGUAGGCGGCCCUCUUUGUCGCGUGUGAAAGCCCCGGGCUCAACCUGGGAAUUGCAUUCGAGACUGCGUAGCUAGGGUGCGGAAGAGGGAAGCGGAAUUUCCGGUGUAGCGGUGAAAUGCGUAGAUAUCGGGAGGAACACCAAUGGCGAAGGCAGCUUGCUGGGACGGUACUGACGCUGAGGCGCGAAAGCGUGGGGAGCAAACAGG
rnacentral:rRNA from 1 species